rnacentral:RNase_P_RNA from 1 species
CAUAUAGCCGAAAGGCUGUGCGGGAGGAAAGUCCGGGCUUCACAGGGCAGGAUGCCGGCUAACGGCCGGCGGAGGUAACUCCAGGGCUAGUGCAACAGAGAUAUACCGCCUGUCUUCGGGCAGGUAAGGGUGGAAAGGCGGUGUAAGAGACCACCGUUUCUGUGGUAACACAGAAAGCCAUGUAAACCCCAUCCGAAGCAAGACCGCAAAGGGACAUAAGGCUGCCCGUCUGUUCCAGGUAGGUCGCUUGAGGCCUGUGGCAACACAGGUCCUGGAUAGAUGGCCAUGCAACGACAUAACCCGGCUUAUCGAUCUACCU